AUUGAACGCUGGCGGCAGGCCUAACACAUGCAAGUCGAGCGAGCGGCGGACGGGUGAGUAAUGUAUGUGGACUUCCCGAUAGAGGGGGAUAACUACUGGAAACGGUAGCUCAUACCGCCUACUAUCGGAUCACCCAUAUGGGCUUAGCUAGUAGGUGAGGUAAUGGCUCGCGUAGGCGACUAUCCCUAGCUGGUCUGAGAGGAUGAUCAGCCACACUGUGACUGAGACACGGCCCAGACUCCUACGGAGGCAGCCGUGGGGAAUAUUGCACAAUGGGCGAAAGCCUGAUGCAGCCAUGCCGGGUGUAUGAAGAAGGACCUAGGGUUGUAAAGUACUUUCAGUCGGGAGGCGUUACCGACAGAAGAAGCACCGGCUAACUCCGUGCCAGCCGCCGCGGUAAUAC
rnacentral:rRNA from 1 species